GACGGGGGAUGCAAGUGUUAUCCGGAAUCACUGGGCGUAAAGCGUCUGUAGGUGGCCAACUAAGUCAGACGUGAAAUCCCUCGGCUUAACCGGGGAACUGCGUCUGAUACUGGAUGGCUUGAGUUUGGGAGAGGGAUGCGGAAUUCCAGGUGUAGCGGUGAAAUGCGCAGAUAUCAGGAGGAACACCGGUGGCGAAGGCGGGUCUCUGGGCCGUAACUGACGCUGAGGAGCGAAAGCAUGGGGAGCGAACAGG
rnacentral:rRNA from 1 species